rnacentral:rRNA from 1 species
UACGUAGGGUGCGAGCGUUAAUCGGAAUUACUGGGCGUAAAGCGUGCGCAGGCGGUUCGUUAAGUCAGCUGUGAAAGCCCCGGGCUCAACCUGGGAAUUGCGGUUGAAACUGGCGGACUAGAAUCUGGCAGAGGGGGGUGGAAUUCCACGUGUAGCAGUGAAAUGCGUAGAGAUGUGGAGGAACACCGAUGGCGAAGGCAGCUCGCUGGGACGUGACUGACGCUGAGACGCGAAAGCGUGGGGAGCAAACAGG